UACGGGGGGGCAAGCGUUGUUCGGAAUUACUGGGCGUAAAGGGCGCGUAGGCGGUUCGCUAAGUUGAAUGUGAAAACUCUGGGCUUAACCCAGAGCCUGCAUCCAAAACUGGCGAACUGGAGUACUGGAGGGGAAAGCGGAAUUCCUGGUGUAGCGGUGAAAUGCGUAGAUAUCAGGAGGAACACCGGUGGCGAAGGCGGCUUUCUGGACAGUAACUGACGGCUGAGGCGCGGAAAGCCGGGGGAGCAAAACAGG
rnacentral:rRNA from 1 species